rnacentral:lncRNA from 1 species
GAAUGGAUUUGGAUGAAACUUUGCAUGAUUGUUCCUUAGAUUAUCCUGCACAAAGUGUGUGCUUCGAUUUUUGAUCCGUCAAAAAACAUGGCUGCUGUUACUUAAAAUAGAACAUAGGGGUCAAAUGCAGUUUUUGGCUUAUAUCUCAAAAACGAAAGCAUUUAGAGCAAAUCUGACAUGGGGUAAAAAUGUUCAUUAGGUCAAGAUCUAUCAGCCCUGAA